AGAAGGGCACAGAGAGGAUAAGAAAUUAAGCCAGAGUUUAUUGUGCCUUCUUGUAUGACGUGAUUCUACAACUGCAUUGAUCAAACACAGAACAAGCAUUGAGCAUGUACUGAUAUGACUUGUGGAAUGAAAAACAAAUCUCAUAGGAUCAUAGAACUGGAAGAGACCACAAGGGCCAUCAAGUCCAACCCCCUGCCGUGCAGGAACACACAAUCAGAGCACUCCUGAUAAGUAGCCAUCCAGCCGCUGUUU